GAUGAAGAACGUAGCGAAAUGCGAUAAGUAAUGUGAAUUGCAGAAUUCAGUGAAUCAUCGAAUCUUUGAACGCACAUUGCGCCCCCCAGUAUUCUGGCGGGCAUGCCUGUUCGAGCGUCAUUUCAACCAUCAAGCCCUGCUUGUGUUGGGGUCCUGCGGCUGCCCGCAGGCCCUGAAAACCAGUGGCGGGCUCGCUAGUCACACCGAGCGCAGUAGCACAUCUCGCUCAGGGCGUGCGGCGGGCUCCAGCCGUUAAAGCACCCACCUUUCGCAAGGUUGACCUCGCAUCAGGUAGGAAUACCCGCUGAACUUAAGCAUAUCAAUAAGCGGAGGA
rnacentral:misc_RNA from 1 species